rnacentral:rRNA from 1 species
UACGGAGGGUGCAAACGUUGCUCGGAAUCAUUGGGCGUAAAGCGCACGUAGGCGGACCAGCAAGUCGGAUGUGAAAUCCCUCGGCUUAACCGAGGACGUGCAUUCGAAACUGCUGGCCUUGAGUACGAAAGAGGAUCGCGGAAUUCCCGGUGUAGAGGUGAAAUUCGUAGAUAUCGGGAGGAACACCAGUGGCGAAGGCGGCGACCUGGGUCGAUACUGACACUGAGGUGCGAAAGCGUGGGGAGCAAACAGG